UACGGGGGGGGCAAGCGUUGUUCGGAAUUACUGGGCGUAAAGCGUGCGCAGGCGGUAAGUUAAGUCUGAUGUGAAAGCCCCGGGCUCAACCUGGGAAUGGCAUUGGAAACUGGCUUGCUGGAGUGUGGCAGAGGGGGGUGGAAUUCCGCGUGUAGCAGUGAAAUGCGUAGAGAUGCGGAGGAACACCGAUGGCGAAGGCAGCCCCCUGGGCCAACACUGACGCUCAGGCACGAAAGCGUGGGGAGCAAACAGG
rnacentral:rRNA from 1 species